UACGAAGGGGGCUAGCGUUGUCCGGAUUUAUUGGGUUUAAAGGGUGCGUAGGCGGCUGACUAAGUCAGUGGUGAAAGGCAGCAGCUUAACUGUUAGUACUGCCAUUGAUACUGGUCAGCUUGAGUGCAGUCGAGGUAGGCGGAAUUGAAGGUGUAGCGGUGAAAUGCAUAGAUAUCUUCAAGAACACCUAUUGCGAAGGCAGCUUACUAGGCUGUAACUGACGCUGAGGCACGAAAGCGUGGGGAUCGAACAGG
rnacentral:rRNA from 1 species